CGCCCCUCCUUCCCGUCCCCGUCGGCCCCACUCUCUCCGCCAACUCGGCGCUGCCGACACCGCGCUCGCCGACGCCGUCACGACUCACGCCUGCCCGCGCUCCGCCGACCCGUGCGCCCCUCCUCCGCCAGCUUGGUGCCGCCGACCCGCGCGCCUCUCUCCGCCAGCCCGUGCGUUGAAUCUAUGUUUUAUAAGAAUCUCCCCCACGUACUCCACCUCUCCGCCGUGCCGCCGCACGUGGAUCUGCUCCGCCGCCGCGCGCUGCCCUUGGACGCCUCGCAAACCGACGCUCGCGGACAUGCGUGAACUCACCAUCGCGCCGCUUCCUCUGCUUCCAGUGCCUCUGCCGCCAUCCCGCUUCACUCCUUCCGUCUCUCUCCCUCCGCCAGGCGUGGAUGCAGGCGGUGUUGGCGCUAGGUGUGGUAGCACGAGAGGAACCGCCUCCUCCCCCUACGCUCACCGGCCUCCUCACGCUCGCAGUCAAUUUCCACCUCCCCACCUCUAGAACACAUUCAUGACAGCAAGCUCUCGCCAACCGUGUCUCUUCCCGCCUCCCUUUCCCCAGCGGGAACGCCAGGCCUGCUGCCGAUCUGCCCAAGGCUAGAGGACGCAGCAGCAGUUGCAGAGUCCGAGGCCGCAAGGCAAUGGCCGUCAUCUUUGCUUGCCAGGUCGAAUGCCUGAUGGAUCUGCACAGCGUAUUGGGAAAAUGGAUCGGCUCAGCUCCAUGGGAGGUUGAAAUCAGAACAAAAGCGGCUCGAUUCUUGCUCGAAACUCAAGGCGUCUCGUCCAAUUGAUAAGCAUGCUGUGAAAAGAAAAUUUUGACGAUGGAAUGAGAAAUUAUUCAUUGAUGAUCUGAAAAUGUUUAAUUAUGGUUUCUUGGUAUUACUGUGCUCUUUUAUUUGGUGGCCUACCUGGGUUAGGGUUAUUACUAUUAUAGUAUUAUGGUAUAUAAGCCUCCUGGUCACAAAAACAGUACAUCAUUACAGCUAGGCAUUCCAUAAUUCAUAAUAUGUGGUACUAGCUCUGAUUUAGUGCUCGGCUUCAUAUGCAGCUAAGAUCCUAAAAAGUUUUAAGGCAGAGAUGAAGAUGAUCAUAGCAUGGAAGCUGAUUUUUCUAGCAAAGAGAAAAGAGACAAGAAGUGCAGCGCUUGCAAGGAAAGAGGAUCAGGAGCAACUCGUCCUGAUCCAGGAAGAAGAGAGGGAGCGUGUGAUGAAGAAGAAAAGGGUAGCACACAAGGAAUAGUAGAAGCGGUCAGGGUACUAGAAACAGCCCUGCCAAGCGUAGGGAUUUAGGUUUAGUUUGUGGCCAGGUAGGCAUCUAGGCUUCUGGAAGCCUGCUCCUAAGAACUGCAAAAAAUUUAGAACUCAGCACUUUCUUCAUGUCAUGUCCUUUUUUGGUCAUCAUCCAUAGAUCAUGGCAGCUGGUUUUGCUUCACGUAUGACCUGUGAUUAAUUAACUAUUUUUGCAGUGUCAAUUGAUUUCUAUAUUACAAUACCUUAGGUGUCACUGUUAUCCUUCAUUUGGUGAUCAAAAGAUUUUUUUUGAGAGCUUGGUGAUCAAACGAUCUGUGUCAGUUUUAUGUUAAUGUUUUCUAUAUGAAAGAUAUAAACUGAAUUGCUCUAAAAGACAUAUUGUACCAGAUAAAUGCAGCUGCAGCAGUCAGCGUUACUUAAUGCACCCAGAUCAAACUCAAAGGAAAAAUGGUCCUGUCAAACUUGGAAUGGAGCCAACUAUGGAAACAGUUUUUCUGUCAGACAGAUAUUUCUGUUAGUUUAUGAUUAUGAGAAGCACUUAGGAGUGUUGAUUAAUUCUUCAUUUCCAAUUUAUUUGACUUGCAAGUUGUUCACUAAGAAUGAUGCUUUAGCGAGACUAUGAACUUUGAUAGACAGAGGCAGAGGAACAAGCAGAAUGAGAUGACUAAAGAAGCAGGUUGAAUGAGCAGGAAUUGAUCAAAAAUGAACAUCUCUCAGUUACAAAUUGACAGUUAUUGGGAUGGGACUGGGUCACUGAGCACAGGAGAGUUAUCCAGUACCAAAUCUGGAGAAGUCAUAUCUGUGUUGUGUUCCUCUUCAUCUGCUUUUAAAGGCAAAGGGGUCUUUGGCAUAGACUGAGAUAAUGCCUGAGGAGCAUGCGAGGCUUAUUUUUUUUCUUUCUUUUCAGAAAUCAAACUGUUCAUUUUGUACUGAUAGACAUUUAUUUUUAGUUUAUUUUAGUAGCAUAAAGUAUCUCAACUCUACGAUUCUUUUAUCUGAUUCACUUAUUUUUGAAGAAUAAUUAAUUCGUUUGAUUCAAAAUGCAGAGUUCUUUGUGAAAUCA